GGACUCUGAGACCUAUUUGGGUUGGAGCCUAUAUAUGAAGCUAUCUUCCCCUAUAAGGUACUAUUUGAGUAUUAGGGAUAUGGAUUUGGUAAGUGAGACUACUUAUAUACACAAAAGCUAUUCCUUCCUCCAUCCUCCCCUCAACCCACCUUCUCUCUCUACAAAAAGCACCUCCCCUAAAAGUAAAAUCCCAAGUCCUGACUCUCUCACUAGCGCGUCCGACUCCUACCGGGUGUGUUGGGCGUCACUGUCAUCACCAAUGGAUAAUUGAGGCUCUCUCUCUCUCUCUCCUCCCCCCCAAGUGGUGGCGUGGUAGGAAGAGAUGGCAGCACCGCGUCGGUUGAUCUACGGCGACCUGAUCGUCCUCUCUGAGGUCGAUUUCAUGGCUGAGUUCGCUGUGGUAAACCCCAUUUCGAUCAAGCCCGAAGCUCCUCCAUGACUAGGUCGUUCCCGUGGCUGUGGUCAUUUCCCCCAUGACAUCUUCGACGUCUCUGCUCUUGGAUCCGCUGUGUAGACGGUGUUUAACGGUGUCCCAAAGGUCGCAAUGGCCUUUCUCCUCUUACUUUUCGUCAUUGGUAAGGUUCAUGCGGUGGCGGUCUCCCCUUUCCUUCCGGUGAUCACGCCCUCUCCCUCUCCGAUCAGACCUAGGAUGGUAAGUGGUGACAGUAACGGCGCAGCGGCUUCCUCCAACCCGACAUCUUUGAUUGAUUGGCUUUUCCCCCUUUCUUCCAGUGACGGAUUAUUCUCUUGGCCUCCCGUCUCCUCCCCGCGAUAGUAUGCUCGCCAACCCUGACACACGAUCGUGCCAUCAGUCUAAUAGUCCUACCUCUUGCCUAAAAAACCGGACCUUUGUGGCUUUUGCUCCUUUUUUGUUGGUUUUUGCAAGUCUUGGCUCUCCUACUAUGGUUACUAGUCUGAACUGAUCAAGGAGGCAUUGGGCCUUCUUGGUUUGAUUACUUAGGGAUUGGACUAUUAUAGAUUAGGUAGACUGAUUAUGUCUGUUGGUUGUGAUUAUUAGUGGGAUCUUGUGCUCGGAUACUAGCCCGGGACAACCCGACCACCCUACUUCAAUAUGGAGUAAAAUUUCAUCGUGGAUUUAGGAUGUCCUCUUUCUCGAUUAUUGUUGGGGUCCACGAUGAAAUAUAGCUAGCAGGCAAUGAUAGGUGCUAACGGUUUCAAGAUAGAAACUACAAUUGUACCCAUUCUUCUA